rnacentral:rRNA from 1 species
UUUAAUGAGAGUUUGAUCCUGGCUCAGGAUGAACGCUGGCGGCGUGCCUAAUACAUGCAAGUAGAACGCUGAAGCUUGGUGCUUGCACCGAGCGGAUGAGUUGCGAACGGGUGAGUAACGCGUAGGUAACCUGCCUCUUAGCGGGGGAUAACUAUUGGAAACGAUAGCUAAUACCGCAUAAAAGUCGACAUUGCAUGAUGUUGAUUUGAAAGGUGCAAUUGCAUCACUAAGAGAUGGACCUGCGUUGUAUUAGCUAGUUGGUGAGGUAACGGCUCACCAAGGCGACGAUACAUAGCCGACCUGAGAGGGGGAUCGGCCACACUGGGACUGAGACACGGCCCAGACU